rnacentral:rRNA from 1 species
AUGAACGCUAGCGGCAGGCUUAACACAUGCAAGUCGAGGGGCAGCAUAAUGGAUAGCAAUAUCUAUGGUGGCGACCGGCGCACGGGUGCGUAACGCGUAUGCAACCUACCUUUAACAGGGGGAUAACACUGAGAAAUUGGUACUAAUACCCCAUAAUAUCAUAGAAGGCAUCUUUUAUGGUUGAAAAUUCCGAUGGUUAGAGAUGGGCAUGCGUUGUAUUAGCUAGUUGGUGGGGUAACGGCUCACCAAGGCGACGAUACAUAGGGGGACUGAGAGGUUAACCCCCACACUGGUACUGAGACACGGACCAGACUCCUACGGGAGGCAGCAGUGAGGAAUAUUGGUCAAUGGACGCAAGUCUGAACCAGCCAUGCCGCGUGCAGGAUGACGGCUCUAUGAGUUGUAAACUGCUUUUGUACUAGGGUAAACUCACCUACGUGUAGGUGACUGAAAGUAUAGUACGAAUAAGGAUCGGCUAACUCCGUG